GCCAGGAUAGCUCAGUCGGCUAGAGCGACGGUAUCGUAAACCGUAGGUCAUGGGUUCGAAUCCCAUUCCUGGCU
rnacentral:tRNA from 1 species